AGGCUAACAAAAAGCUAGCGCUUUAAUUAAUUAAUUAGUGCAAGGCUAACUCAUAAUUAUGUUGAAUAGAAAGUUUGUGCGGACAGAUGAUGCUAUGAAAGAUUCUGAAGAGACUGCAACAGCCUUCAAUGAUGAUGUUGAAAGUGACACGUGUUGGAGAGAGCAUUAUACUGGACACCCUUGUAUGACUGGACACCCUUGUAUGACCAGACCACUGUAAAGUAUCGACACAAUUGGAGCUGAAAGAAAACGCUGUCCGGUGGUAGCGAUUGUCGGACAAAAACAACGUAAGUUCGGACAGUGCUGAUAUUCUCACCAGUAAGGACUCCUGCGAAAAUGUAAGAACUGAGCACUAUAGCGGAACUCUUUAGCUAGCUGCAGACCAAAAAUGAAGCUCAAGCUCCUAUCAGGCUCUGCACUACACUCAGUUGAACUGGUAAGGUAUCUUGUGAACAGAGCAGAGUGCAUAAUAAAAAUUAGUGUCUUUUUGUA